rnacentral:ribozyme from 1 species
CAAACAUAUAAUAUAUAGAAUAGGGUGCGAAUCUCGUGGUGUAUAUUCUGUAUUUCCAUUCUUUUUCUUUUUCUACUGUUU